AGUCAUCGCGCUGAGUUUGCGCCUGUUGUUCACGCAGAUUAUGAAGCAGCGGAGCUCAGCAUCAUCUCUGGCAUUCUCAUCUGGAUGUAUACAUGGCAUCACUGUGGAGUCCAAUGUUUCUUGCCUUGUUUUCUUUUAUUUUCCUGCAGAUAUCUUCGUCUUAUGAGCAGCUGUCUGCCUUUGUGGAAGGGAGCUCAGAUGAGCCACCAUCUCAAGACAUCAGUCGAGAAAAUGGCGUCGGCGGUGAUGCUUCGCCGUUUGAAGUUCGUCUCAGACGAGCUCUGCAGCCGUAUGGACGGCACCCGCACGCUCCAUCACGCAGGAGAUUGCUGCAGAUUCCAGGAGCGAUGCCGUACUCUCCUCUGAGCGUGGCGCACAACGGAAAAACCUGCAUCCUCUUCAGAGCCCGCAAACUGGCCAUCAGGUACAGGAAUCACAGUUUAGUGGACCUCACGGACAGAACCUUCGGCCCAGAUGCACCAGUGGACACCAAAGGGUCUUUCUGCAGUAAAGAUAAAGCCAUACUCAAUCUACGUUAUGGGGAUGUAGAAGACCUCAGAGGCCUCUCCAUCAGGCUUCAAAUGUCAAACACGUUCUACGAGUCGGCCGGGCAGAACUGGUUCACUCUCGAUAACGUUUACAUCCACUACAACUGGACAUACGAGGCCACGUUUAACGCCACAGAUGUGUACGCGCCCUCCAUCAACUCCUACCACUGCCAGCACGUGAGCAGUCUCCAGAAGUACGACACGCUGCUGGUGCCCAGCGCCGGCACGGACCACGCCGCAAACUGGCACAUAACGUUCACAGACUUCCAGAUUCAAGCGUUCAACCUUCAUUCCAGUAAGUUUGCGUCGGCCAGCGACUGCGCCACGUUCUUCACCCCGGCGAUCCUCAUGGGUCUGAUUACGUCUCUGAUCCUGCUGCUGGUGUUGGCGUACGCUCUGCACAUGGUGGUGCAUCUGAAGCACAUCGACCGGUACGAGGAGCACAAGACGACCAUCUACUUCCCUCGCAGCACAGAAGCCGAGUGCACAGAGAAGACCAGCUCCUAGAGUCCCUUCAGAGGUCAACACAUGGACAGUUCUCUGACCGGAGGCAGAUUUGACUGGAGCUGUACGUAGGAAAGGUCCCGUCCGUUUGGGACUGACUGCACCACGGCAGUGACGUCAUUGUGGUGGGACAGUGGAAGUCCGAAUGCUGCUCCUCUGUGAGCUGUCACAGGUUCUUCAGUGUUACAGAGGAUUUCUGCCAGAUCUCACCAACAACCCUGAAUCUGAAAGGAGUAUUAACAUUUAGCGUCACGGGAGUCUGAAGAUCUUGGGAUAUUGGAAUGAUACCUGAAAUAGCACAAUACCCAAAUAUAUCUUACAUUUGCUUUAUGUGUGUUUUCUUCUGUUUAACUGAUAAUGACCAGUUAAAUACUGACGCCUCUUUAAAGUCAACAUGAAAUGUCUGCAAUCUAUUUACACUUUUGGAAUCGCAAGGCGGAUUGGUAAAGGUGUUUGUUGAAUGGCAGGUGAUUGGAGGGAUGGUAACAUGCACAGGCAAUUAACUUUGAAACACAAACAGGUGUUAAAGGUACAGUUCACCCAAACAUGAACAUUCUGACAUCAUUUACUCACCAUCGUGUGGUUCAGAGUCUGUAUGUCACUCUUUCUUCCGUGAAACACAAAAGAAGAGAUUUUGAGAAAUGUCUUGGUGGUUUUGUGUUCAUACAAUGGAAGUCAAUGUUGUUUGGUCGUCAACGUUCUUCAAAAUAUCUUCUUUUGUGUUCCGCAGAAGAAAGAAACUCGUACAUGUUUGGAUCAGCUUAGAUUUCAUGUUGACUGUAAAGUUACAAACUGUGAAUAAAUCAUUAUGAUGUAAUAUAGUAUUUAAAUUGCCAAUCAAUUCUGAAUGACUUGCCAGCAAGUUUGUAUGAAUUCUACAAAUGUAAUGCGUUUCUGAUUGGUCCAAAAUAUAUUCUGAAUGCAACUUUAAAGCAUCAUCGGUGCUGACCAGCUAAAAGUCUUAUAAUAAUAAAAACAUAUUGUGUAAUAUUUUCAAUACAGCGUGUAACCAGCACUUACAACAUGUAAUAAAAAAACUCCCUUGAGGAUUUGCAGCUAAUGACACUAUUUUAUCCAGAACUGAUGUUCAUUUGAGAAGGUGUAUUUUCAAAUGGUUGUGUUUUAUUUUUGUGUAGAUUGUAUGUUGAGUGAUUUUUGUUUUUGAUUUCUUGUUUAAUAUUUAUUAGUCUUUUGUGUAUGCUUUAAAGCUAAACCUUGGGCAGUGGUGAAGAUACACAUGGAUUUUUAACCAACACCCAUUAAAGCUAAAACAACAAUGCAAGCAACAUGACAUUUGUUGUGUAGUUAACAUAUGUUAAAUGAAAAGUAAAGAGUUUUAUGGCUAGAGAUAUUUCAGUGCCAGAAUAAUCAGAUGGUUUGCAUUGGGGCAUUAGGGACCCCCCAUAAGAAGUAAAAAUAGACUUAGGGGUCCCUCAGAUAUUUUUAUUUGAGUAAAAAUGAUGAUGACAAAUGAAUCAAAUGACAAAUUCAUGCAAUGGAUAUGGUAAAUUUCGUGAAUUCAUUAUUUACAAAAAUGUAUAUUAAGGUUGUGUAUGGGCUCGUUGUCAUAUCUCUUAGAAUUGUAAAGGCCCCGCCCCACGUCUAAACACGCUAGUAAGCGCAGGACAUCGUUGACAUGAGUGCUUGAUCGGCGUCGCUCCGGUGGAGCUCACUUCAGAUAAAACAUGGAGAAUAAUAAACCUCCACUCGCAGUCGGGAAGAGGAAGCUUCUACUUUUUUGAGGGGUGUGGUUGAUGUUGAAAGUGUCUCUGUAUUGAACUGCACUGAAAAUGAAAUGACAAUGGAAUGGAAUAAAGUGCACAACAUCAACAAUUACGUCCUGGUGAUAUUGAUUGAUAAUGUACACAAUUUCAUCAGUGGGUCUGAUAACGUUUCUGUAGUCAGACAUACGGUUUCCUCUCUCCAUCCUGGAUGGGUGCACCGCUUUAUACUCCGCGCUGUAUUAAACAGAGAAAUGAGCGAUGGAUAUCUUUUCCAUGCAGCUACAGCUCCACAAAAUGUGGACGGUGUGACUGUACAACGUCAAAAGGAUACAAGUAUAACGCUGAAGUUCAGCGACACAAAGCAUGUCUUGGGAAACAGGCAUUUUUAUAUUCUACAAUACGGAGAAAUCGAGUCUUACACGGGCCUACAUAAUGAUGACCGUAAUUAUGACGGUUUCAUUUAUCAUUGUGGUCCCAAUACUGAACAUUUCUUAGAGUUUUUUUAUCAUUAUUAUGAAGACACAUAUACAGUAACAUCUCUCUCUCCUGGAACCAAAUACAACUUCACUCUCUACUGGGUUUUGAAUGGUGUGAGAAGCCGUGGAUAUGAGUUCACUGAUGAGACCACUCCAUCAAAAGUCACCGGCCUUAACUGUGAGUAUUCGUGGAUGGGGAGAGCUAUAACUCUGCAUUGGGAUGCUCAGUUUGGAUUGAGAUCUGAAUUUGAGGUUCGGGUGAACAGAGGAAUUCCAGAACAGGUGAAUGUCACGAGAUAUCAGAUCGAUGGUGCGCCGUCAGCUGUACAGUACUUCACUGAGAAGCAGUCCAGUGUCAAUCAAGUGUCAAACCAACACAUCAGGCGCGUUUUCAUUAUACUGUUCAUUACUGAUUACAGGAUGAGCCACACAGCCUGAUAUCUAAAAAACCAACACACAAGAAACCUGUGGUUAAUGGACCUUGUGAUGUUUUUUGGGAGAACGGGUGAAUGAGCGGAACGCUGCUGAUCAGCCACUGGAUCGGAUCUAUGUAAACACAGCUACUCGCAACACUCCAGAAAAUCACAAUUCGAGUGUUGAAUCAGAGAGUAAAGACACCAGCGGGGAGAUCAAUCAUUAUGAAGCCCCUGAUAUGACCGUAUAAAUACUACAUUUACAUUUAGUCCUUUUAUCCAAAGCGAAUUACAAAGAGUUCAGGGAGCAAUAAGCGAUAUGUCAUACAGGAGCAAUAAUAGAAUAGGUGCCAAUACAAAGUUACUAGUUUCAACAAAAGCUAGAACACUACCUACUAUUGUAGUACUUCUUUUAUAUUCAAUCAUUUAAAUCUACUAGUCACGUUUACUUCGGCUCAGUUUAAAGAUUUACAAAUGUCCUGAUGUUAAAAUAUUAAAAUCCUGCUCACAGUACUUACCAUUGUUGUUUUAUAAAGAGGCUUCUGCGUGAUCAAAAAAGUAGAACUACAGAAGCAUGAAGGAAAAACCUCUCUGGUUUCCAUGUUAAAAUAUAACUUGCAUUUGACAGACACUCCUUUUGGAAGGUUUGAUACAAAGAUGAAUCUCUGUAUUUGCACACGUGUGAAUAUGACAAGAAUAUGUAUUUUAUGUACAUAAAAACUAUAUUUCUACUGCUAAGAUCGCAUUGGGGUUAAAAAAAACUUAAGGUGUUGUUUUA